GACGAACGCUGGCGGCGUGCUUAACACAUGCAAGUCGAACGCUGAAGCUCAGCUUUUGUUGGGUGGAUGAGUGGCGAACGGGUGAGUAACACGUGAGUAACCUGCCUCCUUCUUUGGGAUAACGCCCGGAAACGGGUGCUAAUACUGGAUAUUCACUGGUCUUCGCAUGGGGGUUGGUGGGAAGGGUUUUUCUGGUGGGGGAUGGGCUCGCGGCCUAUCAGCUUGUUGGUGGGGUGAUGGCCUACCAAGGCUUUGACGGGUAGCCGGCCUGAGAGGGUGACCGGUCACAUUGGGACUGAGAUACGGCCCAGACUACUACGGGAGGCAGCAGUGGGGAAUAUUGCACAAUGGGCGCAAGCCUGAUGCAGCGACGCCGCGUGAGGGAUGGAGGCCUUCGGGUUGUGAACCUCUUUCGCUCAUGGUCAAGCCGCAACAAUGGUUGUGGUGAGGGUAGUGGGUAAAGAAGCGCCGGCUAACUACGUG
rnacentral:rRNA from 1 species